rnacentral:lncRNA from 1 species
CAAACUUGAAGUUAACUCAGCUCAGUAUUCUAAACAAUCAGUCCAGGAAAGCAAUAAAUUACAACUCAGUAAGAACAAUACAUUUAAACUGACUCAUGAACUGUAAAGUUUAAUCCUGUGAAAUAGAUUUGUCAAUCUGUUCCUUUGUACUGGCAGCACUUGAAUCUUCGGUCAGAAUUCUCUUAAUUAUGAACUUUCUUAAUUUGAUCGUGUUUAGCCUUUUCUCUCUUUGUAAGUGUGCCAGUUACUAUGAAUUAUGCAUCUUCUAUUUAAACACAGUUCUCCAAAAAGUCAUUCUUUAUUUCAAACUUCUCCUUUAAUCAGAACUCUCAUUGCAUAGAGUUCUAUUUCAAGUGAGACUCCUUCUUCAAUUCCAACUCUUGUCUCCUUAGUGUUGUAGUCAAACUCCAACUCUUUAAAUCAUCUUUAUCUUUAAGUAUUUUACUCAACCACAACUUCUUCAAUUUCUUACGUGAUUAGUAAUUUAAGUAUAUCAGAAUUUGGCUCGCUCAUUCAUUCCUGACUUUAGGCAAUCUUUGUCUGCAUCUAUCAGUGAUACUUGAAACUUGUCUUCCUAUGCUUGGACUAACUCAAGUAACAUGGUCCAUUCAUGUGUCAUCCAUCAAAAACUUAAUUGAUCUAACAAAGAGUCCUUCAAUUAGUAUGUUUCCUAUCUUCGGUAGAUUUCUUCAAUUUGCAAAAUUUUUCUCCUUCUACACAUAUGACUCCUCAAAAUAUGCUCAGAAGUGAAACUCCUUCUUUCCAUAGGAUUCCUUUUCCAACUCAACUUGCUUUCCCUGUAUCAUAAAGUGUUUGAAUCAAAUUCAACUUCUUCAAAUUAGGAUAUGUGUUUGAAUCAAAUUCAACUUCUUCAAAUUAGGAUAUGUUUAUUUCCUUGAGUUUAUCAGAAUUAACCAAUUAUCUAGUUCUUGAUUUCUUCCACCCUUGCCUUUAAUCAUUGAUGAUUUUGCUACGAGUUCAGCUACAUGAGACAGUGCGUCUGUGAACCAGCUUAACUGACAUGUUUCAUAUCACUUUGUCAGUUUGUCAAUCAUCAAAACUACAUCGUACCCAAUACUAUUUUACUCAAAGAGCAGAAAUUUUGCCAUUUUUAACACAUCUUUCAUUAUCAUACGCGCUUGACAAUGAAACAUGAAAUUUCUGUUCUUCAAAUAGAACAAGUAAUCAUAAGAUUAAACAGUUCUAAGAUAAUCAGGGGAGGCUCAUUUUUGUCAAAACAGAGACUUCAUUUACAUUUUUUUUUUUCUAAAUUUGAUUUCUGUAAUGAAAGUGUUAAUAGCAUCAAGGGGUGAGCUCAACAGACAUUUGAUCUUUUAGACUUCUCCAAAUUGCACUUUUAAGGUUUUAAGGAGAAAUAUGCGACCAUAUUGUGAUGACCCACCACGGCAUCACGCCACUUAGGCGCCACUUGGCACAAAGUUGUCCAUGUGAAAGACUUACAUGAGAAGGAGAUCAGUCCUUGGCGGAAGACAUAAAGAGAAUUCCAUUGGGAGAUCUGAGAAUUCUAUAGAAUUGCGUGGGAGCUCCUUGGAACAUUCUAGUUGUGUAGAGAAUUCUAGAAUAAGAACUUGUAUAUUAUUUAUAUUUAUACUUUAGCUCCUAGGAGAGUAAUAUAAAUAGAGGGUAUUCAUUAGAAAAAUCAUCAAGAAAAAAUAUUCAUGUUCUCUCUAAUACAAAUCUUCCUAAUAAUUCUUUUAUAUAUUUUUUUCAUUAUCUCAGUGAUUCCUAGUGUCUUAGGAUGACUUGACACAGCAAAAGCAUGAGCAAAUGGUGUAAUAGCGUGAACGAUUUAUCAAAUGCCACACAUGUGCUUAGUUGAAGACUAACGACGUAACAAAGUAGUAUCAGAGCAAGGUUAUAACUAAGGAAAUGGCAAAUGACGGAGAAUUUAACACUGCUAACACCCUGUCUAGCAUCAGUCAGGAUGUCGCUGGUAAGAAGGUAGAUGAAAAGAAGAGAAAUGCCGCUAAUAUGAGCAACGAGGUUAUGUAUGAAGUUGUGUCAAGUGCUUACCUCCAAGGAACCAUCUACCACGAAGGGGAGCAAGGAUGGAGUAAAGGUCCUGCCCGAGGACAUCUCGCUCGAUAAGGAGCGGGUUAUGAAGGUUAAUGUAGGGAUACACUAUUGACAUCUUUUACCAAUGUUGUGGAGGGUAUCCUUGGAGUUCUUAAAUGACACACUCUUGAAGAUAUCGAGAGCAUCUAAAAUGACUUGGAGGGGCAUAUACAGGCCAAGGUUGAGCUACUACAAACCAUCACUACACGAGUGCAUACUUAUGAAGGCGUGAGCACUAUCGAUGCCUUGAAAGCAAAGGUAGAAGUACUCAAAGAGCUGUUUAACGAUGGCACAACUGAAGCAGGUAGGAAUGUUAUUCUGACGAGAGAGACUAAGAUUGAGGCUAAUGCACAGGAGGUAGAGAACUUUCUUUGGCACUUGGAGAACUAUUUCAAGCAUCGAAAAGUAAGAGACGAUGAAUCCAAGAUCAACACCGCUGUGUUGUAACUAUUCGAGAAUAUCAUGCUAUGGUGGAGAAGGAAAAUAGUUGAUGUUGAGAGAGGUACGUACAAUACUAAGAUGUGGGAUCGGUUUUAAGGCCAAGUUCAUGCGUCAGUUCUUCCAAAAUAAUAUCCUGUACGAGGAAAGAAGAAAAUUUAGGGAGUUCAAGCAGACAGAGCAUACGUGACUAUGUUAAGGUGUUCAUAUGAUUCAAAUUCCCAAACACACAAAUGAUGAUUUGUUGUUCAACUUCAUUGGACGGGUUGCAGAAUUGGGCUAAGCAGGAGUUGCAACGUCGAUGAGUCACAAAUUUAUACUGAGCCAUAUUGGAUUUCGAGGAUUUCGAGUCUUUGAUGAAUCCAAUAAUGAGAAGUUUGACAAGGAAAAAGACAACGAGUCUCAGGAUGGCAGUGCUAAAUGUGGUGGAGAAUAUGAUACAAGCAAGGAAGUACAUCAACACCACUAUAAGACACAAGAUAUCCACAAGUUUGAUAGCAAGGAGUCAAUUGGUUGUCAGAGCUACACUGAAAAGAAUACACCAGCCGAGAAGAAGGGAUGCUACAUAUGCUGAGGGCUACAUAGCUUUAAGAAUUAUUCUGACUUAAAAGAGUCUUAGCACUAUGGUGCUUGAGCAGAAGGAGCAGGCGCAAGGAGAGAGUUCGUUCACAACUCAAUUGGGUAUAAUUGGACUAUGUGGAUCCAUCAUACUAGUCAAACCAACGAGAAUGAAAAUUAGUAGGUGGACCUAAUCAUCAACAACAAUCUCGCUCGUGCAUUAGUGGACACUAGAGUAACUCAUAAUUUUGUGAUCGAGGCCGCAACGAAGAGACUAGAGUUGAAGUCCUAUCCAACUAAUUCCCAUGUUAAGACCGUGAAUGUCGAGCCUCAAAAUGCUCAUGGUGUUGCUAAUGGUGUUGGUGUGAAAUUAGGCAACUGAAAAGGUACAAUAAACUUUACAACAAUGGAAAUCUUUGAUAUUAUCCUAGGGCAAGAGCUCUUUAAAAAUUGUCAUACUUUGAUCAAUCCCUACCUCCAUUAUCAUUGGGUAAUAGAACAAGGAGGACAGUAAUUAUGGUGCCCAAACAGAACCAAGCACAACUUUUGUUUAUGCAGGUAGUCAAAGGGCUCAUGAAAUGAGCGUCUUCAUUCAAGAAAACCAAUGUAAGUCUUAAGGAAGAUAAGGAUAAACAAACAUUCUCAUGUUCCACAUCUAUUAGAAGGACAAUCAUCGGAGAAAGACAUAUGAGAAAGAUAUGAGGCCUUGUGGUAAUUUAAAGAUAAGAUCUGGGAGUUUAUGCAACAACAAUAGGCAACGGUCGUCGUAAGAACGGGUGAGGAAGAGUGUGAUGACCCACCACGUCAUCACAAUUUAGGUGCCAUGUGGAACAAACUUGUCCAUGUGGAAGACUUACAUAAGAAAGAGACUAGCCUUGGUAGAAUAUUCUAGAGACAUAAAGAGAAUUCCAUUGGAAGACCUUAAAAUUCUAUAGAAUUGUAUGGAAGGUCCUUCGGACAUUCUAGUCAUGUAGGGAAUUCUAGAAUAAUGACUUGUAUAUUAAUUUAUAUUUACACUUUAGCUUCUAGGAGAGUAGUAUAAAUAGAGGGGCAUCUAUUUGCAAAAUCAUCAAGAAAAUAUAUUCAU